UCGAGGAUCUUCGGCAAUGGGCGCAAGCCUGACCGAGCGACGCCGCGUGAGCGAUGAAGGCCUUCGGGUCGUAAAGCUCUGUCGUGGGGGAGAAAAGGGGCAACCCUUGAUCGACCCCAGGAGGAAGCACGGGCUAAGUUCGUGCCAGCAGCCGCGGUAAGACGAACCGUGCGAACGUUAUUCGGAAUCACUGGGCUUAAAGGGCGCGUAGGCGGGCCCGCCAGUCAGGGGUGAAAGCCCACGGCCCAACCGUGGAAGUGCCUCUGAUACUGCGGGCCUCGAGGGAGGUAGGGGCGUGCGGAACUCAGGGUGGAGCGGUGAAAUGCGUAGAGAUCCUGAGGAACACCGGUGGCGAAAGCGGCGCGCUGGAUCUCUUCUGACGCUGAGGCGCGAAAGCCAGGGGAGCGAACGG
rnacentral:rRNA from 1 species